rnacentral:rRNA from 1 species
GGUGAACGCUGGCGGCGUGCCUAAUACAUGCAAGUCGAGCGAACAGAUGAGGAGCUUGCUCCUUUGACGUUAGCGGCGGACGGGUGAGUAACACGUAGGUAACCUACCUAUAAGACUGGGAUAACUUCGGGAAACCGGAGCUAAUACCGGAUAAUAUUUCGAACCGCAUGGUUCGAUAGUGAAAGAUGGCUUUGCUGUCACUUAUAGAUGGACCCGCGCCGCAUUAGCUAGUUGGUAAGGUAACGGCUUACCAAGGCAACGAUACGUAGCCGACCUGAGAGGGUGAUCGGCCACACUGGAACUGAGACACGGUCCAGACUCCUACGGGAGGCAGCAGUAGGGAAUCUUCCGCAAUGGGCGAAAGCCUGACGGAGCAACGCCGCGUGAGUGAUGAAGGUCUUCGGAUCGUAAAACUCUGUUAUUAGGGAAGAACAAACGUGUAAGUAACUAUGCACGUCUUGACGGUACCUAAUCAGAAAGCCACGGCUAACUACGUG